AUGCUGGACAUCCUGGCGAGGCUCACCGACGGCGUGGACCUCUUGAGCGUGGCGAGCACUUGCGCCGGACUGGGCCGCCUCGUGGCCGACCACGACAGCGAGCUCUGGAAGCAGAGGUAUCAGGUCCCGUUCUGGCGGCGGAGAUGGGACGACAAGUCCCCCAUGGCCCACGACGCGUCCGGGACGACUUGGAUGAAGCUGUGGUGCAAAGAGAGACGAGAACACGCCAAGUUCGGCACGUGUAUGCGCGAGUAUCGUCGUCAAAACCUACUCAAAUAUACUAGAAAGGGCCAAAUAGGGCAAUAUAUAUGA
rnacentral:rRNA from 1 species